rnacentral:rRNA from 1 species
GAUGAACGCUGGCGGCGUGCCUAAUACAUGCAAGUCGAGCGAACGGACGAGAAGCUUGCUUCUCUGAUGUUAGCGGCGGACGGGUGAGUAACACGUGGAUCCCCUACCUAUAAGACUGGGAUAACUUCGGGAAACCGGAGCUAAUACCGGAUGAUAUUUUGACCCGCAUGGUUCAACAGUGAAAGACGGUCUUGCUGUCACUUAUAGAUGGAUCCGCGCUGCAUUAGCUAGUUGGUAAGGUAACGGCUUACCAAGGCAACGAUGCAUAGCCGACCUGGGAGGGUGAUCGGCCACACUGGAACUGAGACACGGUCCAGACUCCUACGGGAGGCAGCAGUAGGGAAUCUUCCGCAAUGGGCGAAAGCCUGACGGAGCAACGCCGCGUGAGUGAUGAAGGUCUUCGGAUCGUAAAACUCUGUUAUGAGGGAAGAACAUAUGUGUAAGUAACUGUGCACAUCUUGACGGUACCUAAUCAGAAAGCCACGGCUAACUACGUG